rnacentral:rRNA from 1 species
AUUGAACGCUGGCGGCAUGCCUAACACAUGCAAGUCGAACGGGGCAGCAAUGCCUAGUGGCGGACGGGUGAGGAAUACAUCGGAAUCUACCCUGUCGUGGGGGAUGACGUAGGGAAACUUACGCUAAUACCGCAUACGAACUGAGGUUGAAAGCGGCGGACCGCAAGGCGUCGCGCGAUUGGAUGAGCCGAUGUCCGAGUAGCUAGUUGGCGGGGUAAAGGCCCACCAAGGCGACGAUCGGUAGCUGGUCUGAGAGGACGACCAGCCACACUGGAACUGAGACACGGUCCAGACUCCUACGGGAGGCAGCAGUGGGGAAUAUUGGACAAUGGGCGCAAGCCUGAUCCAGCCAUGCCGCGUGGGUGAAGAAGGCCUUCGGGUUGUAAAGCCCUUUUGUCCGGAAAGAAAUCCUGUCGGUUAAUACCCGGCGGGGAUGACGGUACCGGAAGAAUAAGCACCGGCUAACCUCGUGCCAGCCGCCGCCGUAACAC